CUGCCCAACUUCCAGGGAUGGAGUUGCCCAACCUCUCCUGGAAGGGGAUAUAUGGAAGGGAUGGGUAAAUCCGGUUCUUCACUGAGUCCUGGCAAACCAUGAAGCCCUCAGGUGGCCUUAUCCUCCUCCUUCUGGGUCUCCUGGCUGUUUGUGCCGUGAUGCCUGCUGCCUCUGGGAAUGGGAAUCAAAAGCCCGGAAAAUGCCCAGUUGCACCUCCAGGCAUGAAUACUCCGAACUGUGACUAUAAGUGCAAGGAAGACGUCCAUUGCCUUGGGCCCCAGAAGUGUUGCCAAUGGGGAUGCAUGAGAAUCUGCCUUGAUCCUGUCAAGAGGGACUGAUCUCAUCUAGCUUCAUUCUAGGGAAGAGCAGAACAGGGAUAGAUGGGAAGCAGAAGAAAUGGAGAAACGUUACUCAGAGGAUGAGUUUCCAUCGCAGAGGAGUCAGCUGAGUCUGACCUUGAAGGAGGCCUGGAUCCGUGGGCAGCAACCGCUUGAGACUUCUGACCCAUCUCCCCUGCUCAUCUCCUUACUUCCAGAGAGUCCAAGUCUCCUACUUGCCCCAUUGAUGAUGCUCUCAAUUCUGCUUUGCUAACACCCCUCCUUCCCUUGACAAUAAAGACACCAAUCCCCUUCA